CUAAACACGGUGAACUGUUAACUGUGUUUAAACUCUAUAUCUGCCACAGUCACUACUCUCUCUCUCUCUCUCUCUCUCUCUCUCUCUCUCAUUCUUUCCCUCUUUCUCCCUGAGCUUCUCUGCACACACUCUCUCUCUCUCUUCCCCGUCCCCUUCCUUGAGCUCUUUGCCGUUGGUGCCGUUGCCAACUGCUGUCGCUGUCCGUCGCACUCAUCACCUCUCUCUCUCUCUCUCUCUCUCUCUUUCUUUCUUCCGCUUUCACUCUUUCUCUCGCUCUCUCUCUCUCUGUGCCCCUCUACCCGGAGCUGUCUGCCAAUCUCUCUCAGAACCCUCUUCUCUCUCUCUCUCUCUCUCUCUCUCUAUCCACCCUCACCAGAGUCUUUCUCUGUCUCUCAGACUCUCUCUCUCUUUCUCUUUCUCUCUCUGAACCCCUCUCCCUCUCUCUCUUUCUCUUUGUCCCCCCUCUCAAAGAGACCCCUCCCCCUCUCUCUCUCUGUCAUCACUCCUCCCCUCCAGAGCCCUCCAUCAACGCGAACACGUGCCGACCUUGUCCUGCAAAUUGCCAUAGAUUCAUCUUUCACU
rnacentral:lncRNA from 1 species